UAAAAUAAACCAAACUAACCUGAAAGAUAACCGGGUCAAAUCAAACUUCCAUACUAGCUAAAAGCUAAACUGAAACACGUUUUUAAAAAAAAAAUCAUCUAAAACUACACAAAUAACUCCCAUGAAUAAAUGAUAUUAAAACCAACUUUAGAAGAAGGAACUUAAAUACUCAAUUUUAGUUCACACUAUAUAAUACAUUUCUUCAGAACUUUAUGCCCUCACAGACAAUCCAAGAAAUGAGUAACUUACCACUUAUAUCUCAUCACCUCUCACAUCAAACA
rnacentral:lncRNA from 1 species